UACAGAGGGUGCGAGCGUUAAUCGGAAUUACUGGGCGUAAAGCGCGCGUAGGCGGCUUUGCAAGUCGGGUGUGAAAUCCCCAGGCUUAACCUGGGAACUGCAUUCGAGACUGCAUUGCUAGAGUAUGGGAGAGGGAAGUGGAAUUUCAGGUGUAGCGGUGAAAUGCGCAGAUAUCGGGAGGAACACCGGUGGCGAAGGCGGUUCUCUGGGCCUUACCUGACGCUGAGGAGCGAAAGCGUGGGGAGCGAACAGG
rnacentral:rRNA from 1 species